CUAGCGCUGCAACGAUCAGCCUGCUCUGUUUUGAUUGUUUGUUUGUCGGGAGAUUUCUUCUCAUUAAGGCCAUUGCAUUUACAUGAUUGUCUUGUCUUUCUUAUUAAACAGGGCAAAAUGAUUAAGAGGGAGAUAAGUGUGUGUCAACAAACAUGCGCAUUAUUAUGCAAGAACCUUCUUAAAAAAUGGAGAAUGAAGAGAGAGCCCUUAAUGGAAUGGCUAAGCUCAUUGCUCCUACUGCUUUUUUUGUAUGAAUAUCCUAUUUAUCAUGAAGCUCAUGAUUUUUCUUCACUGCCCGCCAUGGACCUGGGACCGGUAGAUUCAUUCAAUGAUACUACAUUUGCUAUUGCAUUCACACCGGUCACCAACGUAACCCAGCAGAUCAUGGACAAAGUAGCCUUAGCCUCCUUCAUGAAAG